AUGCAGCAUCGGGCACCAGCGCCACCCAGGUCCCGCGUGGAUCCGCCCAGCCGCCCACACCCCUGCCUGGUGCCGGCGCAGAGUGGAAGAGGAGCACGACUACCCCUGCCUGGUGUUCUUCCUUCCGCCACCACUUGUGCAUCCUUGAGCACGCGCGGCCAGGGACUCCGGUGGGCGCGGCCAUGGCGCUCGCGGCGAGCACGGGCGACGCUCCUUGACGCGCAUGGCCAAGGUUUACCGGCGGGCGCCGCGAGCACGAGCGCGGCCGUGGCGCUCCACGACAGCGCGCGCGGCCAGGGACUCCGGUGGGCGCGGCCAUGGCGCUCACGGCGAGCACGGGCUACGCUCCUUGACGCGCGCGGCCAAGGUUUCCCGGCGGGCGCCGCGAGCACGAGCGCGGCCGUGGCGCUCCACGAUAGCGCGCGCGGCCAGGGACUCCGGUGGGCGCGGCCAUGGCGCUCGCGGCGAGCACGGGCGACGCUCCUUGACGCGCGCGGCCAAGGUUUCCCGGCGGGCGGCGCGACCACGGGCGCGGCCGUGGCGCUCCACGACGGCACGCGCGGCCAAAGGCCUUUCCGCGGACGCGACCAUGGCUUGACAGUGGUGCCCAGGUCGGAUGACCAUCGACUAGCGAGGGCGGCGAGCAGCGCCGGCGGCGUGCAUUGCAUAGGUAAGCGCCCAUUACCUGUUUGUUGA
rnacentral:rRNA from 1 species